rnacentral:rRNA from 1 species
UACGGAGGGUGCAAGCGUUAUCCGGAUUCACUGGGCUUAAAGGGUGCGUAGGCGGGCAGGUAAGUCAGUGGUGAAAUCUCCGGGCUUAACCCGGAAACUGCCAUUGAUACUAUCAGUCUUGAAUACCGUGGAGGUAAGCGGAAUAUGUCAUGUAGCGGUGAAAUGCUUAGAUAUGACAUAGAACACCAAUUGCGAAGGCAGCUUACUACCCGAAUAUCGACACUGAGGCACGAAAGCGUGGGGAUCAAACAGG